AUGACUAUUGUACCACCUCCUAUGGCUCUUCAGACAGUGCCUGACACUCGGGAGGCAUUCAAAGAGUAUUUAUUGAAAUUAAAGACAAGAAAUCCAAAAGUUGGGAAUGUAUUACAAAUACUUCACUGCCUUGAUCUUGAGGUGAUAACCCUCUCCCCAAGAAGAAAACUUGGUGUACAAAAUAGGUAGAGACAAAUUAAAUGUGAAGUUUUCACAACUACGAAACCUGUCUAACCAGCUUACUCCGCUUCCGCGUACUGGCCGCACUGCCUGCCGGCUGUCACGGAGACAGCGGACCUCCCGGCAGCGCCUGCGCGCUGGAAGAAGAGGGCAGCGGGCCCGUUUCCGGGGCCAGGUGAACGCGGAAGUACAGGACGUGAGGGUGUGCUGGGUGCUCCGACCGUGGUGGGGCGACUGGUGCGAGAUGGAAGAGGGCGCAGCUGCGGAAGAUGGUCGGGACGGUGUCCGGGAGCGGCUAGGCUUGGGUGAAGCUGGGAGGCAGCAGCAGAACCACGAAGUGCGGUCUCAAUCCCGGGCCGACCGGUUUCCAAAGCAUUCCUACUGGUUGGAUCUCUGGCUCUUCAUCCUCUUGGAUGUAGCGUUGUUUAUCUUCGUGUAUCUUUUACCAUGAAUGGUUUGCCUGAUGUCUAGAUUAAGAAGUUGGCUUCUGGAGUGGAUUCUGAAAAUGACUACAAACUUCUUGAACAUAGAAGACAGGAUUGUGCAACAGAAUUUUAAACUCUGAGGGACUUUCUUUCAUUUUACAUACUCUUGUUAUUCCUUUUGGGGACUAUAUUAAAUGGGUAAUCUCACCCAUUCAUAGCUUAAGUUCUUAUAACUACUCUUUGAUUCAUGUUUAAAAACUUUUCAGACAUCUGAUAGCUUUAUAGGGCCUGCAUAUUAAAGCAUUUAUACGUAAAGGUUUAAUGUAUUCAUUAACAAAUAUGGUAAUGUCUUGCCUUUAACAUUUUAAGGAUUAGCCAGGGUUUAGUAUGGUGCAAAAAUGUGGUGAAAUAUUAAGGUGAAGUAUUUAAAAAUAAAUUACUCAAAAGCAAUGGAAGAAAAAGGAGUUAAGAGCUGUACAGAAAGUGCAGGCCCAAAAUGUAUUGGCUGUUAAGUACCAAUUUAAUUUUUAGAUUAAGUGGGCCUCUGUUAUGGUUGCCAGAUUGAUACAAUCUCAGAGAAAGUAUAAAUAUCCAACAUUGGAAAUCUAGUGUGCAUGUCCUCUUACCUGGAUGCUUCCCCUUGCUUCAUUUUAAGUUCCCGAACUUCCCUAAAAUAGGA